rnacentral:rRNA from 1 species
UUGCAUGUGCCGGGCUCUUAUGCGCAGGAUAGGUGGGAGGCUUUGAUUGAAUGCUUGUGGGUGCUCUAGAGCCAAUGGUGAGAUACCACUCUUUCAGAGCUAGAGUUCUAACGUUCUCCCGUUAUCCGGGGAGGGGACAGUAUCAGGUGGGCAGUUUGACUGGGGCGGUCGCCUCCUAAAAAGGAACGGAAGCGCGCAAAGGUUUCCUCAGGCUGGUUGGAAAUCCACCGACAAGUGCAAAAGCAAAAAGGAGCUUGACUGGGAAAACUACCAGUCCAACAGGGGCCAAAGUCCGCCUUAAUGAUUCCACGGUUCUGAGUGGAAGGGCCCUCCCUUAACGGAUUAAAGUUACUCUAGGGAUAAAGGCUGAAA